CUUGGCUGGCACUGUGAAACAACCCUGGGCUACCCGGGCCUGCGCUGAUCUAUAAUUCAGAACCACUUGUUUCUCAGUAGCAGAAAUAUCUUGCCCAACUGGGAUACAAUAAUUUCGAAGCAAGUAAAGGAAACUGCAGCUGCUCAGCUGAGUCAGCCAAAGCAUGAGCUUCAUGUUCGUUUUCUGAGUGGAUUGAUCAAAUGGGUCGAUUGCCGUGAGUCUUCAGGUUGCACCCAAGAGCUGCCCAGUACGGGGACAUACAACAGGGAAAGCUCAAAAGAAGUUUGGUCUCUUCAGAGGAGUGGGACACGUGUUCUGCUGACAUCCUGGAAACCAAGAGCAAACCUCAGCUUGGCUGGGAUCCCCAUCCAUUGGCAUGCUGGAUCUUUAAAUGGAGAGGUGCUGAGCCGAAGGAGGAACCAUGGGGAUUUCUUACCAGGUGGAAGAGGUUUAUUGGCUUUUAGAGAGUGUAUUGCUGCCUGGGCUGUGCAGGGUAUGAGAUGUGACAUAGGCUAGGGCGCAGAGGAUGUGUGAAGGAUCACACCUUAAUUUGUGAAGUGUAAAAAUUAUUGCCUGCACGAGAAACCAGAGGGAUUUUGUGUAAUAGGAGGUGUGUUGUGGGCUGUUGAGGGACACCUGGAGGAGGAGGAGUUGAGGAUUCUGCUCUGUACUUCAGCUCAAGCUGUGAAAAAUUGGGAGUGGAAGGGACCCACAAGAGUUAAUGUUUUCCUGAGAUUUCUCUCUUACUGGUAUACUGAAAUAUGCAGGAAGCUUUGUUUUUUGUUUUGUGGUUGUUUUUUUUCUUUUUUUGUCUUUUAUUAGAAUUAAAUAUUUCUUUUCUAACCUCAACCCUGAAGAGCAGUUGGGGGGAGGCAGGGGAGGGCACUGCAGUUUGGCUCUGUACCAUUUGGGCUGUUUGAAUUCAUUAGCUUGGGAGCCCGCACAAAUGCCUCAGGCCGUGUACCUCCUCAUGCACCCAACUUGGGAGAAUCUCUUACCGCUACUGCAUGCAUUAGCCUUCGUUAAUACAAUUAGCAUAAUAGUGAUUAGGAUUCAUUAUUCCCUACAAAAAGAUAAAGCCAGCAAUACAUAUCUCAGAAUCAAAUUCCUCAGCGCCUUGUCUUGGGAUUGCUUUAUUUUGGAGUUGUUUGCUCUUUAUAUCCUUCCAUCUCCUAGAAAAAAGAAAGCCACUUAAUUGUAAAACUAUUUGGGUCAAAGAAAUGCACUGAGAUGAUCUUUCACACAUGCUAAAUAGGUGAAUUGAUCUAUGGGACCCACACAGCUCAGCCAGCCACUCAAACAGUCGAAACUGUGAACUUCAUCUUCUUCAAGCACAAAAGCUACUUAGUUUCCCCAUGUUGAAGACUUUUUAUAAUAGCAAUAAGACAACUCUAGAGAGAACCAUCUAAUAUUAACUCCAGGGAGUAAUCAUCUAAUCACAAUCUGGGGGUGAUUUGAAGCACUCAUCUGGACCAAAUGCCUCACAACACCCCAGGAGUGGUUUUAUUGCAUGAUAGCAGUACCCCAUUGAGCCUUAUUGCUUAAUUAAAAACAAAUUCCCAAGUAAUUUUUUUGCCUUUUCAUAAAAACACAGUAGUACAUAGCAUGUAUAAAACAUCCAUUAAAUGAUGGUAGAUGCAAAUUUACAUUGUGAGAUACAAUCCGUUUCUUUACCACUUGGGGUUGAAGUUAAAUGUAAAACCAUUUCCUAUAAUCUGUGCACUGCUGUGUUUAGAGAGGAAUAAAUAUGGGAAAGAGAGGUUCAUUGUAGGAUGCCUUGUUUUUAUUAAGUGAUAUGUUUGGUCUCCUUACAAAAGAGUUCAAAUUCUUGUCCAUCUUGCAGACACAAUAGUCUAUCAACAGCGUGGCCUUUUCUGCUUCCUCCUGGAGAUUUCCUCAGCUUGCCGUCGUUGCAGUGCAAUAGGAAUCCUGUAUUUCUGUCUGGGAUUUCCAUUUCUCUCUGAGCAGAGAGAGCACGAACAGUGCAGGUGACAUAUUUGGAAUACAUCUAGCAUACUAUACACGUGCUGCCCGGGUGUCCUUUGUGGGUUUUGUAGUCUAAUGUGGAUUAAGCCUGGUAGGUGCAUGGUACAGCCACUUUUGGUGGUUUUGCCGCACAGUUGACCUCUGCCUGCACUGGAUGCAUGGUUGAGAGGUCUCUACCUCCUGCAAUUUGACUGGGACCACUGCUACAGCUGUGGCUGCUCUGCAAGGGACCUAGACUAUGGAUGGGAAGAGUAUGAAAGUCCUUUUUGUUCACGUUGAGGGUUUGUCCUGCCUCAGCAUCCCAACCCAGAGCUCCCUUACACCUUUACGGAGUGCUUUCAUAGCCCCAAAGUGAUUCCCAAACGUAGUGCUCCCCUGAGGACUUUGAGUAUUGUUCACAUGUUACAGGAAAAGGAAGCAAAUUCAAAUUUUUAAGUGAUUGUCCAAAAAUCGUACAGGGAAUGCUAGAGACACUGCUCAGAAUCCUGGCAACCAAAGCUAUAACUGGGCUUUCAGCUGCAGCACUGAAGUAAAUGG